rnacentral:lncRNA from 1 species
UUCAUCGGGAGACUGGGCGUCUCUGGUUAGCUUGAUAUUCUCUGCCAUCUUUUUCAUGAAUGCAUGGCUGUUGUUUUCAUUCUUUGUCAUUAAGACUUCAAGCAUAAACCACAGGCACCUAAGUAGAAAAUACAUUAAAAAGGAUAAAUGAAGAUGAUUUUUUUUUCUCAAUGGAUUAAGUCUUCAAUGAAAAGUUUGGCUGUCAGCAUAAAGGAAUAUCAAAACAGUAAUAUACAAUUUUAUUAAUGGUAUCAAUUUUAAGUAUUUUUUUUAAAGAUAUGGUCUCUUGUAACACAAGCUGGCUCAUUGUGUAGUUCGAACUCAUCUUUCACUGAGUGUUAGGAUUACAGGUAUACUAUAUCUGGCUCAAGAGGAAAAAGUCAAAAAAUAUUUAAAAUAAAGCUGCUUGGUUUUUGUCCAGUUCCCAGAAUGAUUUACAUAUAAGAGCACCUGCUUUUCACCUCUGGAAGGGUAGAAUGAAUUUGGUAAAAUUAUGUGAGGGCCUAGGCAGAAAGCCUUAAGUUUCUUCUCACAAGCCAGGCAUGAUGGUACACACCUAAAAGGUGCAGAGUCAUGGUCAUCCUCACUACACAGCUGAUAGGAGCCCAGGCUGGGCUAAAACUAAGCUAGUUUAAGAGUGCACAGGUCAAAGUGUGAAGUUGGCAGAGUUCUAUUUAGAUGAGAAUGGACUGUAAACAAACUAGUGGAGCAGAAAGGGCAACAAACACAAAUCACCCUCUACCAGAUUUCAUCCAUCAAGAAUUUCUAGAGAGAUCCCAUACCUCAAGGUUACAAUAAAACCAUGGAGUCACUAUAAAACUUGGUCUGACUUUACACUUCUAUAAAACACAAGUGACAAACAUAGCCAGCCUCAUGCAUGCAACUGUGUGUGAAAGCAGCAUUAUUUGAACAAGUACAGUUGAACUGAGCUGCGGUGACAACGCUGGAGGAGUGCACUGCAUAAGGCUGAGGCACCCAGUAUGCUAAAGUAGACAGUUACUAAUUCCAUUAAUUCUCUGGGGUUCAGAAUCCUCUAUCCUAUUAACUCCUAAGAGUCCUGAUCCUUUUACAAAGACCAACAGCAUAAGAAUUAUUGUUAGAAAGGAGAUGAUGAGGAAGUAUUCUCUCUGCCGUAAGAGUAUGAGACUUAUUCCUUUUACAAGGUUUUUUUCUUUCUAUUUUCUUUUCUUUUUCUUUAAAAAAAAAGGGGGGGGGAGGUAAGAUUUUAAAUAUGGGAUGGAGAGAUGGCUCAGUGGUUAAGAGCACUGACUGCUCUUCUGGAGGUCCUGAAUUUAAUUCCCAAUAACCACAUGGGUGGUUCACAACCAUCCGUAAUGAGAUCUGAUGUCCUCUUCUGGUGUGUCUGAAGAGAGCAAUGGUGCACUCAAAUACAUCAAACAAAUAAAUAAAUCUUUAAAAAAAUUAAAAUAUAGCCAGGUAUUGGUGGUGCACACCUUUAGUCCUAGCACUUGGGAGGUAAAGGCAGGCAGAUGUUUGAGUUCAAGGCUAGCCUGGUCCAGAGAAACAAUGUCUCAGUAAAAUAGAGAGAGAGAGAGAGACAGAGACAGAGACAGACAGACAGACAGACAUGAAGGAAACCUCUGUAACAAUCUAGUAUAGAUUUAUACUUCAAAUUGAAAAUGCUAAUAAGGUCUAGUAUAAAAAAGUAUAUAUACUUUGCAUAUAUGUAUAUAAAAUAUAUAAAACAUAUGGACAGGUUAAUUUUUUUGUGUAAAGUUAGAAUAUGUUGAAAACUUAAAUGUCAUUUGCACAUGUAUGUUUUGCUUGUUUUUAGUUUUCUGAGAUAGUAUCUUGUUCAGAAUGGCUUAGAAUUCUAUUUUUUUGUUUUUUGUUUAUUGAGACAGGGUUUCUCUGUGUAGUCCUUGCUAUCCUGGAACUCACUCUGCAGACCAGGUUGAACUCAAAGGCAGAAAUCUGCCUGCCUCUGUCUCUCAAGUGUUGGGAUUAAAGGCGUGUGCCACCACUGCCUGGCGGCUUUGUUUGAACUCUUAACCCCAAUGCCUCAGCAUUAUUAUUGUAUUUAUUGUAUUCCUCAAAGCACAUUUUUCUUAACAAAUCUUUUCACUGAGUUCCCUAAAAUAUAUGAUUUUGAGAAACUAAUGGUCCCACCAUGCUUUGUUUCAACUCACAAGCCACUGGGAUUAUCGGCCUCCAAUACCAGCUACAAGGAGCCAAAACUUUUUUUUUAAAUGUAGGUUUAAUUUCAUACUUUUUACAAAUGGAGGAACUAUCACUAUGGUGACAACACUGAACAGAUGAUGAACAGGCCAAUGCUUAAGGGUAAUAUAGAACAUCUUUUCUGUUAAAAUUUUGACAGCAUUUAAGUGACCAAAGUGGUAAGAGACAGAUGAAUGUCCAGUUCAAUUUAGGAGUAAGAUUUGCUUACUGACGUAGAAAAAUGUAAUACAAACAAAUGAUACUAAUUUACAAAUGCAAAACAAAAUAUAGCAAUGGUCCUACACAGAAGUGGCUCAAUGUUUAAGGGAAAUGGUUGUAGGUACAUACUGGAAUCCUUGGUUUGGGUGGGGCUGGGGCUCUAACUCAGAGCCCCAUGCAUACUAUGUAAAGUACCAACUGAGCCAUAUCCACAGUACUAAAGAUUAUUGUUAAGGAAAGAUGUGGUUCUAUUAAAAAAAAAGUUAUACAAAUGAAUAAAUUAAAUUCUUUUUUUUUUUUUUUUUUUAAAAGAUUUAUUUAUUUAUUAUAUGUAAGUACACUGUAGCUGGGAGUCAGAUCUCAUUACAGAUGGUUGUGAGCCACCAUGUGGUUGCUGGGAUUUGAACUCCAGACCUUUGGAAGAGCAGUUGGGUGCUCUUACCCACUGAGCCAUCUCACCAGCCCAUAAAUUAAAUUCUUAAUCCAUGAGGAGAAAUUUUCAUCAGUUUUAUAAAUUACCAAACUCAAAGGC